GCUACAUUUAUCUUUGUGGCAGGUUUCUGUAAUACUUCAGUAACCAGGUUCACAGCCAGCACGUUGGAUGUGUGUGAUAGAGAGGUGACUUUGAACAGUGUCAGUGCGUUGUGUGUAUUGGUCUUGGUACAACCAGUUAGCCUGAUCCACAAUUGGGCUUCUUAUUUGAAUACAUCUCAACCGCAGUACAGAACAGUUGUAGUUCUUGGAACCCACACAGCUGAAUACAAGCUGGAGCCCAGUGACUUUCUACUAAUUAAGUAAUACCCUAUAAGUUUACCUGGGUACACUCGGUCAUGGUGUUUUUUGCAACUGUAUUAAGUAAUUCUUUAAGAUAUUAUGUAUGAUAAGAG
rnacentral:lncRNA from 1 species